ACCAGAACUAGGCUGAGGCGUGCUUAGGGCUGAUCGCCCUGCAGAGUAUUUUCGGGAUCUGGAAAACAUCAAGGAUAAGAGACAGGUACUUACCAGAACUUGGCUGAGACGUGCUAGGGGCUGAUGAUCGCCCUGCAGAGUAUUUUCGGGGAUAUGGAAAACAUCAAGGAUAAGAGACAGAUUCGUCUCUCCUACUUGAGCUUCCGUCACCAGUGACAACAGACUCUUCAAGAAGCUUGUCCCGCAUCUCCAUCUCCCAACUGUUGAAACGCACUCUCUUUGUGGAGUGCAUCAAUGACAUCUUCUUUUUGACAAUUGCCCUGCAAUCAUAAUACCUAGAAAUCAAAUAAAAACAUAUUUUUGGUUAGAAAAUAAUAAAAAAAAAAUUUUUGAAAAA